rnacentral:tRNA from 1 species
GGUCAUAGCUCAGUGGCAGAACAUCUGGUUUGCAUGCAGAAGGUCACAGGUCCAAUUCCUAGCAUCUCCA